AAAAUAAUUGAGCCGAGCGAAGCGAGGCGAAAUUUUUUUUUGGAGGGUAUGUAAUGAAAGGUGCAAAAUCCUGCAUUCUAGGCAUUUUUAGAGAGUUUGAUAAUGUUUUGAAUUUGGACACUUUUUAUAUAAAUUUUUCAUUUUUUUAGACUUUUACCAAGGAUUUGUAUAGUUUACUAUACAAAUCCUUGCUUUUACUAACACCAAAUUUUUAACAACUUUAUUUAAAUUUAUAUGUAAGAUAAUCAUCCAAAUAUCACUGAUUUGAGUCUGCUGCCAGAACAUAAAACAAACAUCGAUUCAGUAGAGUUUUCCAAAGUUUUCUAUGGCCGG
rnacentral:lncRNA from 1 species